rnacentral:rRNA from 1 species
GUCGCAAGACCAAAGUGGGGGACCUUCGGGCCUCAUGCCAUCAGAUGUGCCCAGAUGGGAUUAGCUAGUAGGUGGGGUAACGGCUCACCUAGGCGACGAUCCCUAGCUGGUCUGAGAGGAUGACCAGCCACACUGGAACUGAGACACGGUCCAGACUCCUACGGGAGGCAGCAGUGGGGAAUAUUGCACAAUGGGCGCAAGCCUGAUGCAGCCAUGCCGCGUGUGUGAAGAAGGCCUUCGGGUUGUAAAGCACUUUCAGCGGGGAGGAAGGCGGUGAGGUUAAUAACCU